UAAUAAUCAUAUAUUGAAAGUUUCCCAAUUCCAUCGAUGGAUAACAUAAAGGGAAACAAAGUGAAUAAAAAAGAUUAAUAAAUUAACAAAUAACUAAGUUAUGUCUGUUUUUGCUAAGUGAAGAGAAGAUCAUUGGUGUUACAGCAUUGCUUUCCGAAGAAAGUCGUUUUCCGUUGAACGAAUAUAGUCGAGUCCGGCCGAACCAUCGAACAAAUCCGAAUGGAGCCGAACUAAGUCGAAUUGAACCGAACGCGUGCGCCGAGUCGACACAUAUCCGUCGUACGAGGUAUCGCAAACGUAUCAUCGUUCGCGCUCUGUGACCUACAAACCUACUUUCCCAUCGAAUUAAAAGCGAAAUCGUUGACUUCUUUAAAGAGAGAGAGAGAGAGAGAGAGAGAGAGAGAGAGAGAGAGAGAGAGAGAGAGAGGUGGAUAGGGGAGGGGGGAUAAGGUAGAUCGACAGCCGGAAGAACAUUGAACGGAGAUACAACGCACGUACAUAUUUAUCUAUUUAUGUAUCUAUGCACGUAAAUGGAAUGUCUAUGUGUGUUCGUGUAUAGUAUCCGAUGUACGGAAUGAUGGCGGGAGAGGGAGGAAGAGGGAGAGAGAAGAGAAAAAGAAAGAAAGAUAAAUGACAUUCUAGUUAAAAUGGUGGAUCCCCUUUAGAGAGAGAUAGGGAGAAAGAGAGAGAGAGAGAGAGAGAGAGAGAGAAAAAGAGAGAACUCUUAAAUUGCGAUAUUUUUUUUAUUUCGUAAUUUGUUUCUAUCGAAGAAAGAUACAUACAUACAUAUAUAAAUAAAUAAAUGUAUAUAUAUAUAAUGUGUGUAUGUAUAUGUUUCAUCAUAUUUGAUUUAACCUUAAUAUCCUUAAUUUGUUUUUUCGUUAUUUACGGAAUGUAAUUUACUUCGAUUAAAGUGUGACGAAAUUUUAAUAAAAAUGUAAAAUAUGAAAUCUUGCAACGUCUAAUACUCCGCCAUUUGUACAUGGUCAAUAUUAGAAACUAGAUAUUUCUUUUCCUCCGUAAUCGAAUUAAAAGAAUAAAAAAUGAAAAACAAAAAAUGAAAAAAAAAA